CCUACGGGAGGCAGCAGUGAGGAAUAUUGGUCAAUGGGCGCGAGCCUGAACCAGCCAAGUCGCGUGAGGGAAGACGGUCCUAUGGAUUGUAAACCUCUUUUGUCGGGGAGCAAAAGACGCCACGCGUGGCGUUCCGAGAGUACCCGAAGAAACAGCAUCGGCUAACUCCGUGCCAGCAGCCGCGGUAAUACGGAGGAUGCGAGGGUUAUCCGGAUUUAUUGGGUUUAAAGGGUGCGCAGGCGGAAGAUCAAGUCAGCGGUAAAAUUGAGAGGCUCAACCUCGUCGAGCCGUUGAAACUGGUUGUCUUGAGUGAGCGAGAGGUAUGCGGAAUGCGUGGUGUAGCGGUGAAAUGCAUAGAUAUCACGCAGAACUCCGAUUGCGAAGGCAGCAUACCGGCGCUCAACUGACGCUCAUGCACGAAAGUGUGGGUAUCGAACAGGAUUAGAUACCCUAGUAGUC
rnacentral:rRNA from 1 species